UACAGAGGGUGCAAGCGUUAAUCGGAAUUAUUGGGCGUAAAGCGCACGUAGGUGGAUAAAUAAGUUGGAUGUGAAAGCCCUGGGCUUAACCUGGGAAUUGCAUUCAAGACUGUUUGUCUAGAGUAUGGGAGAGGGAAGUGGAAUUUCUGGUGUAGCGGUGAAAUGCGUAGAUAUCAGAAGGAACAUCAGUGGCGAAGGCGACUUCCUGGCCUAAUACUGACACUAAGGUGCGAAAGCGUGGGGAGCAAACAGG
rnacentral:rRNA from 1 species